AACAACGCAAUCCAUCUAUGUUGUCUUCUUGUCAAUUAGUUAUCGGCGACUCCAGGAGAACUCCUCCAGAACUCCUCCAUCACGUAACGGUCAGAGUUUCUAUCUCUGACACACAACAGGUUCCCCUGCGUUCUUACAGAAAAAUCAAACAUGAGUUCUGUCCUGCAGGGUUUUACCAAGUCGCUUGCCAUGACGGUGCUCUCGGAGAUCGGUGACAAGACUUUUGUCGCCGCCGCGAUCUUGGCAAUGCGCCAUCCAAGGAGACUUGUCUUGUCAGGUUGUCUUGCAGCUUUGAUUGUGAUGACUAUUCUCUCUGCUGUUGUUGGCUGGGCAGCUCCAAAUCUUAUUUCUCGCAAAUGGACUCAUCACAUAACAACAUUGCUGUUCUUUGGGUUUGGUCUAUGGUCUUUGUGGGAUGCUUUUACUGAUGGAGGGGAUGCUGAAGAAUUGGCUGAAGUUGAAAAAAAAUUGGAUGCUGACUUCAAAGCAAACGCAGGAAACAUCAAAAAGGGCAGUAAGGACGAUGAUGAGUUGAAAAAGAAGCGGCCAUUUCUCUCUCAAUGCUUCUCUCCAAUCCUCUUGAAGGCAUUUUCUAUUACUUUCUUUGGGGAAUGGGGUGACAAGAGCCAGCUGGCUACUAUUGGUUUGGCUGCAGAUGAGAACCCGUUUGGUGUUGUUCUUGGAGGAGUUGUAGGACAAGCAUUGUGUACCACUGCUGCUGUCCUUGGAGGAAAGAGCUUGGCAUCUCAGAUAUCAGAGAAAAUGCUAUCUUGAUGCAGGUUGCACUCUCAGGUGGAGUGCUCUUUAUUGUUUUUGGAUUCCAAUCCUUCCUUUCCUCAGUGGAGUCAUAAAAUCACACUAUUCAUGGUUGUAAAAGGCAUAUGCUCAUGAUUCUAGAUGGCACCUUGUGUCCCCCACUUGGAACCAUAACAAUGAGUUUUUAUGCCUACCACAUGCCUGCAGGGAUUAGAAGCCGAUUUGGUGAAGCGAAGAACAUUUCAUGUUUACUCUCAGAGCUCUGUCAUUUGCCAUGUCAAGCAUUGAUAUUAUUUUUAAGAGAAUGAUUCAAACAAAAAAGGAAACAAAUUCACGUUGCGUUAUAUUUAUGGCUCUUUAGCGUAGUUAAUGAAUGAAUGAGUUCUUUGUCCUUUACUCAA